UAUUAAGAAAAAGUUUUUGCCAAAAGUACUCGAAUGGUCUGCAUGGGGAGGUGGUGGAGUCACCAUCCCUGCACAUGUUUUAAAAAACGGCUGGAUAUGGCGUUUGGUGCCAAGGUGUUGAGGUGCUAGGGCAUGGGUUGGACUUCAUGAUCUUGAAGGUCUCUUCCAACCUUGUGAUUCAGUGAUUCUGUGGUUCAUUUUUGAAAAUCAGAUCCUGCAGAGCAUCCCCUCUUCACCUCCUCAGCCACCUGUACCAGAAAAUUUAUUGUAAUUUUUAUUAUUAUUUUUAAUUUUGUAAUUUUUUUUAUGUUAUUGUCCUUCAAUGCACUCUAGAGCCCUCUUGGAUGUUUUUGUCUAGCUGUAUCCAGCUAUUGCAGCAAUCCAACUGUGUGAGUGUGAUUUGCCUCUUAAUCAGAGAUUUCAAAAAUCAGGCUCCAUCUGCUGAAGAAUUCAAAGAUCUUGAGAGGCUAUUUAUGGACAUCAAAUUGUGGCCCAUUUCUCUCUGGAGCAUCAUGCAGCAGCAGCUCUUCAACACCAGGGGAAGUAUGAGCUAUCCACAGACUCCAGUAAAAAACCAGGCACAUGCAGGCCACACAAGGAAUCACAAUGAAAGAAUGGCAUUAAGAUUGCCUGGUUUCCCUUGCAUGUAUCAGAUGCAAAGAAAUGACCAGAUGUGUAUAUGGAAACUGAGACAAGACCUACCUAACACAAAGAGGAGACUUUCUGGGCUGAACCACUCCUGCCUGGGCUACAGGUGACCGGCAGAGACCUUCUGUGUGUAAAGCUCAAUAUCCAUGUUGGUGCCAUGCAGUAAAGGGAUGAUGGUUGUCACAAAUGGUGUGCAUUCAAUUAAUCAAACCCAAAUGCUGUAACACUGUGGGGAAAUUAUGUCUAGGGUUAUUAUGGUCUGUAAAUACUGUAAAAUCUAGCUUUGUUUUUUGAGUGUCAAAGUGUGAAAACUUUGAAGAGAUGUAGAUCCAGAGAUUUUGUGAAUUCUGUGAUUCACAGGCAUACAAAAUGGGUAAUGCCCCACUCCCAG